CCUACGGGGGGCUGCAGUGGGGAAUAUUGGACAAUGGGGGCAACCCUGAUCCAGCCAUGCCGCGUGUGUGAAGAAGGCCCUCGGGUUGUAAAGCACUUUCAGUGAGGAAGAACGCCUGGUGGUUAAUACCCAUCAGGAAAGACAUCACUCACAGAAGAAGCACCGGCUAACUCCGUGCCAGCAGCCGCGGUAAUACGGAGGGUGCGAGCGUUAAUCGGAAUUACUGGGCGUAAAGCGCGCGUAGGUGGCUUGAUAAGCCGGUUGUGAAAGCCCCGGGCUCAACCUGGGAACGGCAUCCGGAACUGUCAAGCUAGAGUGCAGGAGAGGAAGGUAGAAUUCCCGGUGUAGCGGUGAGAUGCGUAGAGAUCGGGAGGAAUACCAGUGGCGAAGGCGGCCUUCUGGACUGACACUGACACUGAGGUGCGAAAGCGUGGGUAGCAAACAGGAUUAGUACCCGAGUAGUC
rnacentral:rRNA from 1 species